CGCCUCUUGAUUAACAUGAGAGGUCCAGCCUGCCCGGUGACAAAGUUUAACGGCCGCGGUAACCUAACCGCGCGAAGGUAGCAUAAUCACUUGUUCUUUAAAUAGGGACUAGUAUCAACGGCAUCACGAGGGUUGCACUGUCUCCUCCUUCCAAUCAGUGAAACUGAUCUCCCCGUGAAAAAGCGGGGAUAAAAAUAUAAGACGAGAAGACCCCAUGGAGCUUUAAACCCAACAGCAACUCAGUAACAUAAUUCCUCAUAGCCCACAGAGAAGUGCACGUCGGUUUUAGGUUGGGGUGACCGCGGAGUAAAAAUUAACCUCCACGACGAAAAGAACUAAAUCUUUAUCCAAGAGCCACCACUCUAAGAAUUAGUAUACUAACGAACAAUGACCCAAUAAUUGAUCAACGAAACAAGUUACCCUGGGGAUAACAGCGCAAUCUACUUCAAGAGCCCAUAUCGACAAGUAGGCUUACGACCUCGAUGUUGGAUCAGGGUGUCCCAGUGGUGCAGCCGCUACUAAAGGUUC
rnacentral:rRNA from 1 species